GGCUUGUGGCUCAGUGGUAGCGUGCUUGUCUAGCAUGCAAGAGGCACUGGGUUCGAUCCUCUGCACCA
rnacentral:tRNA from 1 species